CAGUGCUUGCUUACUUUAUAGCACGCAGGUCUAACUUUGACUUGUGGGGUGGGACCAUCAAGACUCGCUCAGCACAUAAUUUUUUUCCUUGGGAGGCAGUUUCUUGGCAAUGCACCAGAGACGCCCCC